rnacentral:tRNA from 1 species
UUUUAAUAGCUUAUAAUAAAGUAUAAUAUUGAAGAUAUUAUGAAGAUAAUUUUAUCUUAGAAUAU